GCCGACUUAGCUCACUAGGUAGAGCAACUGACGUGUAAUCCGUAGGUCACCCGUUCGAUACCGGUAGUCGGCACCC
rnacentral:tRNA from 1 species